CCCUUGCAGAUGUCGCCUUGUGCUUCCUCGUGCUCCCCGUGUCAUCCUGGGGCUUGGUUUGUUGACUGUGGCUGCACCGGGCUUGUGCUUUGCAGUGAACCUCAGGAGAUCAGACAUAAUGCCAGCAUCCGUCUCUGUCUUCCAUGCGGAACCUGAUUGGGUUGGUGGGCUUGGGGAAACGUGACCAUAACCACGUCCAUGUCUCCUGCGGCCGUGACCACGACCCCUGCGCUAGCGGCUACGGUCACCUCUUUUUGCAACACUCCUAUCUGAUGAGUGCAUCGCUGUGCUGGGUGUAAUCAUGUCUCGGACUAUUUGCUGGAAGAUGGGGGAGAUGGCUGUCUGUCCCCUCCUCUGUGGUCUUUGCUGGGAUGUUGUAGGAUUGUGUCUGUUCUGGGACAGUGGGGAGAGAAGCUCCUCUUCUUCUCCUUCUCCUCUUGGGACUCUCUCUGGAAGUGUUGGACUGUUGUGAAGAUCCUGGAGGGGAUGUCUGUGUAGGAAAGGAUAGUUGUGGUUGGUCAGAGGCAAACGGCCUUCCUCUUCUCCUCAUCCUUACACUCUGUUGGCGGCCCACCUCGUCAGCAUCCACACUAUAACAUGAAAAUGAAUAAUGUUUUUAUUUACUGGGUAAUAAUUACUCAACGCCUAAAACACACACACUUCCCCAGUGGCCUAAUCCUCCUCUCCUCAUUAAAACAUGUCUCUCCCAUUGACUGUUUCUCUUGUUUAACACGGAAGAAAACAAAAUGUUUUUUGUGGAAACUUUUCAGGAGUAAUAAUGCUCUAAAAACAUGAUCUGUAUUAAAGUCCAACUGAAAUUAAAUAAUUGUUACAUAUCUGCUCUGUA